rnacentral:rRNA from 1 species
CCUACGGGUGGCAGCAGUGGGGAAUAUUGGGCAAUGGGCGCAAGCCUGACCCAGCAACGCCGCGUGAAGGAAGAAGGCUUUCGGGUUGUAAACUUCUUUUCUCAGGGACGAAGCAAGUGACGGUACCUGAGGAAUAAGCAACGGCUAACUACGUGCCAGCAGCCGCGGUAAUACGUAGGUGGCAAGCGUUAUCCGGAUUUACUGGGUGUAAAGGGCGGGUAGGCGGGAAAGCAAGUCAGAGGGGAAAACCAUGGGCUCAACCUGUGGCCUGCAUUUGAAACGGUUUUUCUUGAGUACUGGAGAGGCAGCCGGAAUUCCUAGUGUAGCGGUGCACUGCGUAGAUAUUAGGAGGAACACCAGUGGCGACGGCGGUCUGCUGGACAGCACCUGACGCUGAGGCGCGAAAGCGUGGGGAGCAAACAGGAUUAGAUACCCUUGUAGUC